rnacentral:rRNA from 1 species
UACAGAGGUCCCAAGCGUUGUUCGGAUUCACUGGGCGUAAGGGUGCGUAGGCGGUCUAUUAAGUCAGUGCUGAAAUAUCCCGGCUUAACCGGGAGGGUGGCAUUGAUACUGAUGGACUUGAGUGCAGUCGAGGUAGGCGGAAUUGACGGUGUAGCGGUGAAAUGCUUAGAUAUCGUCAAGGACACCGAUAGUGAAGACAGCUUACUAGACUGUAACUGACGCUGAGGCACGAAAGUGUGGGGAGUCAAAACAGGGAUU